rnacentral:rRNA from 1 species
CACCCUCGGGUGACAGGGAGACAGGGUGGUGCAUGGUUGUCGUCAGCUCGUGUCGUGAGAUGUUGGGUUAAGUUCCCCGGCAACGAGCGCAACCCCUACGUUUAGUUGCUAACAGGUGAAGCUGAGCACUCUAGACGAACUGCCGUUGACAAAACGGAGGAAGGUGGGAUGACGUCAAAUCAUCAUGCCCCUUAUGUUCUGGGCUACACACGUGCUACAAUGGCCGGUACAGACGGAGGCGAAGCCGCGAGGCGGAGCAAAUCCGAAAAAGCCGGUCUCAGUUCGGAUUGCAGGCUGCAAUUCGCCUGCAUGAAGUCGGAAUCGCUAGUAAUCGCAGGUCAGCAUACUGCGGUGAAUACGUUCCCGGGCCUU